UUUUUGGGUCAAAACGACACUUUUUUGUUAGAUUAAAGAGUACUGUGAGUUCAAGCUCUUAUUGCUUCAUCGGUUUUUCGUAAUUUUC
ensembl:ncRNA F38H4.16 ncRNA